rnacentral:tRNA from 1 species
ACCGAAAUAGCUCAGUUGGGAGAGAUAGAUCUGAAGGUCCCUGGUUCGAUUCCGGGAUUUGGCA